rnacentral:rRNA from 1 species
UACGAAGGUCCCAAGCGUUAUCCGGAUUUAUUGGGUUUAAAGGGUGCGUAGGCGGGUUAUUAAGUCAGUGGUGAAAGCCUGCAGCUUAACUGCAGAAUUGCCAUUGAUACUGAUGAUCUUGAGUAUGAUUGAGGUGGGCGGAAUGUGUCAUGUAGCGGUGAAAUGCUUAGAUAUGACACAGAACACCGAUUGCGAAGGCAGCUCACUAAACUAUAACUGACGCUGAGGCACGAAAGCGUGGGGAUCAAACAGG